CAAGGGACUUAAACCAAAAUUGAGUGCACUGGCGGAAACGCCUGAUGUAGAACUGCUCAAAGUCGGGGAAACCUGUCAGAUGGCAAUCCCGAGCCAAGCCCCGCAAGGGGAAGGUGUAGAGACUAGACGGGCAGCACCUAAGGUAGACGCUAGGGUGAAGGUAUAGUCCAGACCACAAACGCCGGAAGGCGGCG
rnacentral:ncRNA from 1 species